rnacentral:lncRNA from 1 species
CUCAAAUCCUCUAUCCCCCAUGUUACUGUAACUCGUCUGAAACCACCCAAUAUCUCAGCCCACUCAAGAGAUUCCAAGGUGUUCUAAUGAGAACCUUCAACAAUCAAGGUUGUUCGAAGUCGAGUAUCACCACGGUUUUCGUCCGACACCAUUCUCGCAGCCUUGUCGUCUAGUUCAGGCUCACUUUAGUUUCACGAUCCGCAAGAAUCAAGUCUCGAACACUCACGGAAAGCGAACUCGAGUUCUUCACCAUCUCGUCUUUCGAUCGCAUCCUCGCUUGCUUUUGUCGGGAUUAUAUAUAUUACAUCGGACAUUACAUUAUGCUAGCUUUGCAUUGGAUAACCAGAUUAUCUCCAGGAAACCCUUACGAAAAACCUAAAACAGCAAUGUAACAAAAUGUGAAAGCCAAAUAGAAGCCAGCUGGACAGCACUGAAGGCUUGGAAAAGUGGCAAUAAAGUUACCUAAGAAUAAAAUGGAUGUUUUUAUAAAUAGGAUGUAUUCCUAUGAAACGUGUGUAUUGAAAACAUGGGUUUUUACCCAUAUGUUUAAUGUUAUAAACAUGGUGGUUUACU